ensembl:lncRNA
AUGAUUGCGACUGCAUGUCUUGGUUUGUCGCCCUCUCUCUGUCAUCUGCAGAAUAACUACAGGGAGUGUCUGACCCAAGGAGAUAAACUCAGGGAUUUGAAAGGCCGUCGCUCAUCCAGGUCUGCCACCACUUCACGGUUGAAUUUGACAAAGACCAGUCAGACCUCUAUCACCCCUCCCAAGUGUUCCAGGCUAUCUCUGGUCCCUGUCCCCUUCUCCUCCUCCUCUUCUCCCAAGAGGCUGGCGCAAAGCUCCUCAUCAUCAGCUAGUAACCUUAAGAGUCCCUUUAGCCUGAGUAUGUUCAGCUCUAAGGCUACUACCAUUCACUGAGCCCACGUUGAUCACUGACUUUUCAUCUUUGACCUUCUGACCUUCCAGUUGACCCCAGGAGACAGGAGGUUAACCCCCUCAACCGCUGGAGAAAUGAGCACGAUAGUCUCUGUUAUAAAUGCACGUUAAAUAACAUUUAAUAAUACAACAAAAAAAAUCUAAUCCACCCCUGAGACACUGUAAAAAAUCAUAUUUGUAACAAUUGGAUUUGUAGACAUGAUCUCGUUUCAAUCAAUGUAAUUGUUUGUUUUCAAAAUGGGUUUAUUAUCAUUGUAAUUGUGUGCAAGGAGAAUGUUUAUCAUGGCUUUCUCUUAUUCAGUUAUUUAAUUGAUUUAUAUUGUUUGAUUGACGCUGUAAAAGAGGACACAUCCUACUGUACACUCAAUUGAUUCAUGAGUGGCUGUCUUAUGAAUGUUGUCAUUCAGGAGAUCCAUUUGUUUUAUGUGAAUACACAUUUGGAUUGUAACAGAAGUAACUCUGGUUGAGCACUUUUUUUCUGACUUGUUUUUACGACUCUUGUUGACAGGCUCGGGACAAUUGUUUUGUUUUAAAUGACUUUAAGUAGUAGGCCUGUAUGGCGUAUAUGGAAUGUAUUUCUGCAAACUUUGCAGAAAUACUAUUGGUACAUUGUCAUUUAAAUUAGAUUAAAAUCAUUCCUUGUUAAAAUAAGUUGUCUUUCUCUGCAAAUGUUAUUUGACUCAUAAACAAGGCAGGUUAAGACACAUUUUCGGCUUAUAUUAAUAUCUCCAACAAUAAAAUAGGGACCAUGUAUAGCAGUUGUAAGGGCAGGAAAUCAACAGAAGUCAAGGCAGAUUGAAGUGCUACCUUUUAAAAAUAUAUAUAUAUUUGCAGAUCUUGUGUUUACACAGGCAGCCCAAUUCUGAUUAUUUUUUUCCACUAAUUGGUAUUUUAUGACCAAUCAGAUUUCUUCACAAGAUGUUUUUCAGAAUUGAUCUGAUUGGUCAAAAUACCAAAAAAUACCAGUGAAAAAAAAUAUCAGAAUUGGGCUGCCUGUGUAAACGCAGCCUUAGUGAUCCAAUGGUGAAUAUGCCAUAGGCCUACUUGGCCUCAUACGUGACCAUACCAUUACCAAAUUGUAAACCAAUUAACUGGUUCUACAAUGUAAAAGGCAAUUUACAUAUCCGUCUUUACUUUGAUACAUUUGUAUAUAUCAGAAAUAACAUCACAGUUAAUAAAUUGAACACUUUCAAUACUUUUCUAACAACUCAUAGUAACCUCCCUAGGCUUGGACUUCCAAAUGAGGAGCGCAGGCCACGUAUAUACAUAUACAUAUACAUAUACAUAUACUUAUGACCAAUUAGAUCAGCUCUUUUGCCAAUAAUUGGGCAAAAUAUCAGAAUUGGGCUGCCUGUGUAAACGCAGCAAGAGAAACUAGACUCAUGCACAGAUAGAGCGCUCCAAACAAAAGUACAUAAAUGUUAUGUAAAAAAUCAAAACUUCUUUCUCACAAGUGUAACGUAGGCCUAGUUUGUGAACACUGCAAACAAGGUGUCCACUCCAUAGCCAUGGGAAGAUGUGGGGGUACUGAGAAUUCUUUUUUUUGCCCGUGCUACAGACGACUAUAUCGGCCCGUUAAUUCAGGACUAGUGAAGGCCCAGUGCAUAACAUUCGUGAACUAUUUCAUUUUUUAUGUCACGCCGGGAAUAAGAACAGAAGUUAUAGAUGUCCACUAACCAAACACUUACAUUCUAGAACACUGGGUAUGACGUGGGUUAACGUAAAUUCAUUACUGGCGAUUUAUCGGGUAGCCUAAAUUCAAAUCAAAUCACAUUUUAAUGAUAAACAUUCAGAGUGCAUUCCUGGUGAGAGGAGCCAAUUUCAUUAUCAAAAAACAUUUAUUAUAUACUAUGUGACGAAAGUAUUUUCAUUUAGACGUGUCAUUGUUUGUGAAAAUGUGGUGAAUUAAUAUUUGAUUUAGGGGAUGGUCCUUGGUUACCCUUAGUCACUUCUUCCUACCCCUCAGAGGGGCACACGCAUUAGCCCCCUAGAUUGGGCAAUUCCAUUCAACUCUGUUUGAACUUUAAUCACCCAACAACAAAGGGACCAAAUGAAUGACCAGCUGUACAGAUUUCAUUCCUAGCAUUCUUCAUCUUGCUCCAGAGUAACCCCUGUUCCAGUUAAAUGACCUCACACAGACACUCUCCCAACCCGCACUUGUGGCUCAGACCGCAAAUCAAUGAUUGCAUCUCUGCUCAAAGGUCACACUUUCAAUUGUUUUGAAUGGCUCUCGUCUUAGUUUUACUUUAGGCUGGAAUGGCGGGAAAGGUUCGCUAAAUCUCAGAUCUGUUAUGUGCUUUAAGCCAAAUGGUAAUUUUGUACAUGUCAUGUCAGGGUAAAGCACAUAGCUACAGAACUGGUGCCAGGCUCGGGAAAGUUAAACCAGAGUUAAGAAAGCUUCUGGCAUUAUGGUGACAUUUGUAAGAACUAAGACUGCAGUGUAUCUCAGGAGUCUGACAUGAAAUGAUUUGUAUAACACCUUGAAUAGCCUA